rnacentral:rRNA from 1 species
UGAGGAAUAUUGGUCAAUGGGAGCAAUCCUGAACCAGCAAUGCCGCGUGUGGGAUGACGGGGCUCAGCCCUGUAAACCACUGUCGGACGGGACGAAAGGAGCCUUCAGGGCUCUGGGACGGUACCGUCAAAGGAAGGGUCGGCUAACUACGUGCCAGCAGCCGCGGUAAUACGUAGGACCCGAGCGUUGUCCGGAAUUACUGGGUAUAAAGGGUGCGCAGGCGGCCGUGUGCGUCAGAGGUGAAAUCUCCGGGCUUAACCCGGAGGGUGCCUUUGAUACGGCAUGGCUUGAGUCCGAGAGAGGGUGAUGGAAUUCCUGGUGUAGCAGUGAAAUGCGUAGAUAUCAGGAGGAACACCGGUGGCGAAGGCGGUCACCUGGCUCGGCACUGACGCUUAGGCACGA